rnacentral:rRNA from 1 species
AUUGAACGCUGGCGGCAGGCCUAACACAUGCAAGUCGAGCGGCUGAAGGGAGCUUGCUCCUGGGUUCAGCGGCGGACGGGUGAGUAAUGCCUAGGAAUCUGCCUGGUAGUGGGGGAUAACGUCCGGAAACGGGCGCUAAUACCGCAUACGUCCUGAGGGAGAAAGUGGGGGAUCUUCGGACCUCACGCUAUCAGAUGAGCCUAGGUCGGAUUAGCUAGUUGGUGGGGUAAAGGCCUACCAAGGCGACGAUCCGUAACUGGUCUGAGAGGAGGAUCAGUCACACUGGGACUGAGACACGGGCCAGACUCCGACGGGAGGCAGCAGUGGGGAAUAUUGGACAAUGGGGGAAAGCCUGAUCCAGCCAUGCCGCGUGUGGGAAGAAGGUCUUCGGGUUGUAAAGCACUUUUAGUUGGGAGGAAGGGCAGUGAGUUAAUACCUUGGUGGGUUGACGGUACCAACAGAAUAAGCACCGGCUAACUUCGUG